CAAUAAAAAAAACUCCAAAAGUGAUCAAAAAACUUUUUAGUGUCUAAUCUUCCCCUUCAAUGGAGAUGUAGGGUUCCGAUGGUUUCAAACUCCUCUGGAAAAUAGAGAGUGACCCUUUUGGUUUUCUUGAAGCAUUUCAUCUUCCUCUACCUCUACAGCUCACCAUCUUUAAUCAGUUCAUCAUUAGUGGUACAAAGUCGUCAUCUCAAAGACACUCAACGAUAUCUCAGAUUAUCACAGCUCCUUAAAAAUAUCCUUUUUCUGAUGCUCCAGUUGCUCAAAACACCAUCGGCCACUUAUUCUUGGACUCACUCCGGCUUGGUACUCAGUUUGUAGUUGGUCGACUCCUCCGGUUCUAGGUGAAAAGAUUCCCUGAUCCACGGCUUCAUCUCCGUUGUUCAUGCCAAUCACAAUGUCCAUCUUUGGGAGCCAGUUCGAUUGUAAAAGUCAAUCGAUUUGAAGUUGCAUGCUGCACUAACAUGGAAAAGUGAUGAAGUCAGGGCGUGCUGCCAAAUUGGUGAUAGAGGUGUUUCUUCAGGGUUUCUGGCUCUCACAAGAUGGUGAAUUGAGGCUGCUCAAGCUCCUGUUUAGAUUUUUAGUGCGUUAAGGUGUUCAUCGCUGCUACUUGGGGGAAAAUGGUUACAAUAAAAGUAAAAUCGUACGGAGAUUUGGAACCUACUAUGCAGAUGAAGAAAUCAUAAGCCCGGUUCAAGUUUCUUACACACAGCUUCCAACAAUGGGGACUAUAUAGACGCUGUUUCUUUUGAGUAAAAUUUUCAUUUUUAAAAAUUGUCUGUUCAGAAACAGAGGAAUAACAAAUGAAAAGUUUGACCUUUGAGAUUCAAAUUUCAUGAGCACUAAUGUUUUUUUUAAUUGGGAAUUUAGAGGAAGCCAUUGCGAACAUUGCUGAAGGCGAUGCUGAAGAUAUCAAAGGGGUAGUGAAAGCUGCAAGGAAGACCAUUUAUGAAGGACCUUGGCCUUAGAUGAUUGCUUAUGUAUAAUACUAUAUAAUGUUCUUGAGUCUUGAAAGUUAUGAAGUUACUGUGAUAUGGACUAGAUAUCAAAGGGGUAGUGAAAGCUGCAAGGAAGACCAUUUAUGAAGGACCUUGGCCUUAGAUGAUUGCUUAUGUAUAAUACUAUAUAAUGUUCUUGAGUCUUGAAAGUUAUGAAGUUACUGUGA